rnacentral:rRNA from 1 species
GGGGGGAUUUUGGACAAUGGGCGAAAGCCUGAUCCAGCAAUGCCGCGUGUGUGAAGAAGGCCUUCGGGUUGUAAAGCACUUUUGUCCGGAAAGAAAUCCUUGGCUCUAAUACAGCCGGGGGAUGACGGUACCGGAAGAAUAAGCACCGGCUAACUACGUGCCAGCAGCCGCGGUAAUACGUAGGGUGCAAGCGUUAAUCGGAAUUACUGGGCGUAAAGCGUGCGCAGGCGGUUUGCUAAGACCGAUGUGAAAUCCCCGGGCUCAACCUGGGAACUGCAUUGGUGACUGGCAGGCUAGAGUAUGGCAGAGGGGGGUAGAAUUCCACGUGUAGCAGUGAAAUGCGUAGAGAUGUGGAGGAAUACCGAUGGCGAAGGCAGCCCCCUGGGCCAAUACUGACGCUCAUGCACGAAAGCGUGGGGAGCAAACAGGAUUAGAUACCCUGGUAGUCCACGCCCUAAACGAUGUCAACUAGUUGUUGGGGAUUCAUUUCCUUAGUAACGUAGCUAACGCGUGAAGUUGACCGCCUGGGGAGUACGGUCGCAAGAUUA